rnacentral:tRNA from 1 species
GUUAUCGUAGCUUAAAAAACCAAAGCGCGGCACUGAAGAUGCCGAGACGGAUUUUCAAUUUUCCCGGAAACA